UCUAGGUUGCCCACUGGCCAAGCAAUCACUCUCAUACUUGCUGGUACACUGGUUUAGCUUGAAUGCUGCCACUUCCUAUUUGUCUCCAACCUCUUGCCUUCCUAUCUUGCUCUACACUGAAGAAUGACCUCUGCAUAGUCCCUGUCCUGGCUUCCUUGCCUGUUGGUUUCACCCAUUGGUUUCUACUGGUUUUCAACAAGUGAGAGUGAUCGAUGGGAGGCAGGUGACCAGAGGUCAAGAAAAGAGACACAGCAGAACCACAGAGUUAAACAACUACUAACACAGGCGGAGGAGCAAGGGCUCUCUGGCUAGUAAGUGGUCAGAACUCCCAUUCUGGACCUGCAGCAAACAACUAGGAAAGUGGCAUCUGUUGUCAGAGGCCUAAGAGCUGAGUCAAUUACCAGGAGCAAAACAUUGUCACCCACUGGUGUGCUGGUUUCCACCUGGAUUUAAAAUUGCCAUCAGAAGACCAAUAUGAGCUCAAUAGACAGCUCGAGGAAAGUUUGUCUUUGUCAAGAAAAGAAUGAAAAUAUUGGGAUAACCAAGCAAGAAUGAACUCAUUGCUCCUACAGUGGUGUAUGUAAAAGACAGCAGUUGUCAAUGUUCAAAGUUGCAAUGGUAACUUUGGGUUACGGUUUAUCCACACCAAAGAAAAACUAGGAUGUUAAAGAUAGGCUUGACUUUUCUGCCUUUGUAUGGCAGCACAGUCUAGGCCACAUGACACCACGAUGGUCAUUAUCAAAUUCAAGUAAGUCACAUUGGACAUCUGAGACAUUCAGAGCUGUGAACAAUAAGGAAAGACGGUGUCCUAAAUGAAAAAGAAAAUACUUCAUACGUGGACAUUCUAUAAAUAGAAAUAAACUUUGUGCAAUAGUGAAACCAUGAUAUUUUGCAAUUUGAUUGAGCUUUUCUUUCUCUCAAUCUCAAAAUGAUACUUCCUAGUCAUGGCAUAUCCCCUAGGCAUUGAAAAAUUGGC
ensembl:lncRNA